GACGAACGCUGGCGGCGUGCUUAACACAUGCAAGUCGAACGGAAAGGCCCUGCUUUUGUGGGGUGCUCGAGUGGCGAACGGGUGAGUAACACGUGAGUAACCUGCCCUUGACUUUGGGAUAACUUCAGGAAACUGGGGCUAAUACCGGAUAGGAGCUCCUGCUGCAUGGUGGGGGUUGGAAAGUUUCGGCGGUUGGGGAUGGACUCGCGGCUUAUCAGCUUGUUGGUGGGGUAGUGGCUUACCAAGGCUUUGACGGGUAGCCGGCCUGAGAGGGUGACCGGCCACAUUGGGACUGAGAUACGGCCCAGACUCCUACGGGAGGCAGCAGUGGGGAAUAUUGCACAGUGGGCCGAAGCCUGAUGCAGCGACGCCGCGUGCGGGAUGACGGCCUUCGGGUUGUAAACCGCUUUCGCCUGUGACGAAGCGUGAGUGACGGUAAUGGGUAAAGAAGCACCGGCUAACUACGUG
rnacentral:rRNA from 1 species